UACAGAGGGGGCGAGCGUUGUUCGGAAUUACUGGGCGUAAAGGGCGCGUAGGCGGCCUUCUAAGUCGAACGUGAAAUCCCCGGGCUCAACCCGGGAACUGCGUCCGAUACUGGGAGGCUUGAAUCCGGGAGAGGGAUGUGGAAUUCCAGGUGUAGCGGUGAAAUGCGUAGAUAUCUGGAGGAACACCGGUGGCGAAGGCGGCAUCCUGGACAGGUACUGACGCUGAAGCGCGAAAGCUAGGGGAGCAAACAGG
rnacentral:rRNA from 1 species